UACGGAGGGUGCAAGCGUUGUCCGGAUUUAUUGGGUUUAAAGGGCGGGUAGGCGGCCACCGCAAGUCGACUGUGAAAUCUCCGGGCUUAACCCGGAAAGGUCAGCCGAUACUGCGGGGCUAGAGUGCAGAAGGGGCAACUGGAAUUCUCGGUGUAGCGGUGAAAUGCGUAGAUAUCGAGAGGAACACCAGCGGCGAAGGCGGGUUGCUGGGCUGACACUGACGCUGAACUGCGAAAGCUAGGGGAGCGAACGGG
rnacentral:rRNA from 1 species